rnacentral:rRNA from 1 species
AGUGAACGCUGGCGGUAGGCCUAACACAUGCAAGUCGAACGGCAGCACAGUAAGAGCCUGCUCUUACGGGUGGCGAGUGGCGGACGGGUGAGGAAUACAUCGGAAUCUACUUUUUCGUGGGGGAUAACGUAGGGAAACUUACGCUAAUACCGCAUACGACCUACGGGUGAAAGCAGGGGAUCUUCGGACCUUGCGCGAUUGAAUGAGCCGAUGUCGGAUUAGCUAGUUGGCGGGGUAAAGGCCCACCAAGGCGACGAUCCGUAGCUGGUCUGAGAGGAUGAGCAGCCACACUGGAACUGAGACACGGUCCAGACUCCUACGGGAGGCAGCAGUGGGGAAUAUUGGACAAUGGGCGCAAGCCUGAUCCAGCCAUACCGCGUGGGUGAAGAAGGCCUUCGGGUUGUAAAGCCCUUUUGUUGGGAAAGAAAAGCAGCAGGUUAAUACCCCGCUGUUCUGACGGUACCCAAAGAAUAAGCACCGGCUAACUUCGUG